GACGAACGCUGGCGGCGUGCUUAACACAUGCAAGUCGAACGGAAAGGCCCUGCUUGCAGGGUACUCGAGUGGCGAACGGGUGAGUAACACGUGGGUGAUCUGCCCUUCACUUCGGGAUAAGCUUGGGAAACUGGGUCUAAUACCGGAUAGGAGCCAUCUUUAGUGUGGUGGUUGGAAAGUUUUUUCGGUGUAGGAUGAGCUCGCGGCCUAUCAGCUUGUUGGUGGGGUAAUGGCCUACCAAGGCGGCGACGGGUAGCCGGCCUGAGAGGGUGUACGGCCACAUUGGGACUGAGAUACGGCCCAGACUCCUACGGGAGGCAGCAGUGGGGAAUAUUGCACAAUGUGCGCAAGCCUGAUGCAGCGACGCCGCGUGGGGGAUGAAGGCCUUCGGGUUGUAAACUCCUUUCGCUAGGGACGAAGCUUUUUUGUGACGGUACCUAGAUAAGAAGCACCGGCUAACUACGUG
rnacentral:rRNA from 1 species